GGCUCGUUGGUCUAGGGGUAUGAUUCUCGCUUCGGGUGCGAGUCCUGGGUUCAAAUCCCGGACGAGCCC